rnacentral:tRNA from 1 species
ACCCGUGUAGCUCAGAGAACAGAGCGCAGGUCUACGAAACCUGAGGUCGAUGGUUUGACUCCAUCCACGGGUACCA